rnacentral:rRNA from 1 species
UGCUAUAAUGCAAGUCGAGCGGACAGAAGGGAGCUUGCUCCCGGAUGUUAGCGGCGGACGGGUGAGUAACACGUGGGUAACCUGCCUGUAAGACUGGGAUAACUCCGGGAAACCGGAGCUAAUACCGGAUAGUUCCUUGAACCGCAUGGUUCAAGGAUGAAAGACGGUUUCGGCUGUCACUUACAGAUGGACCCGCGGCGCAUUAGCUAGUUGGUGAGGUAACGGCUCACCAAGGCGACGAUGCGUAGCCGACCUGAGAGGGUGAUCGGCCACACUGGGACUGAGACACGGCCCAGACUCCUACGGGAGGCAGCAGUAGGGAAUCUUCCGCAAUGGACGAAAGUCUGACGGAGCAACGCCGCGUGAGUGAUGAAGGUUUUCGGAUCGUAAAGCUCUGUUGUUAGGGAAGAACAAGUGCAAGAGUAACUGCUUGCACCUUGACGGUACCUAACCAGAAAGCCACGGCUAACUACGUGCCAGCAGCCGCGGUAAUACGUAGGUGGCAAGCGUUGUCCGGAAUUAUUGGGCGUAAAGGGCUCGCAGGCGGUUUCUUAAGUCUGAUGUGAAAGCCCCCGGCUCAACCGGGGAGGGUCAUUGGAAACUGGGAAACUUGAGUGCAGAAGAGGAGAGUGGAAUUCCACGUGUAGCGGUGAAAUGCGUAGAGAUGUGGAGGAACACCA